CUCCUUUCCUAGUGUCCCCAUCUUUGCUGCCUUCCGUGAGUUUGAUCAUGUGGACUCCAUGGAGGUUGGCCACUGCUGGGCAAUGCAGCCAAACAAAGUUAGCAAAAGUAGGCUGGAGGGCUCUGUGGGUGACUGGGGCUAGGCUGGCUGUGGUGCCCCAGGAGCCCUGAAGCCACCUUGCAGCUCUUCUGAAAUGAGUUGGGGGCUCCAGCUAUCUGUAAUUGGGAAGUGAAGAGGAUGUGACCGCCAGGUGAUGCUAACCCCGAAUCCUCGGUGCCUGUGUUAUGCACCAUAUGCUGAAUUUCGGUUCCAGCUGUGUGCUAGAGAUGGAGUUUCGCCAUGUUGUCCAGGCUGGUCUGGGUCUCCUGGGCUCAAGCAGUCCUCCCACCUCAGCCUCCCAAAGUGUUGGAAUUACAGGCGUGAGCCACCGCGCCCGGCCUGCUGAGACUUUUGAAUGUGUUCUGUUUCCACUACACAAUUGAGAACACUGAAGUACCAGAGACUUCCAGGGUGGGGAAGAAAUCCAGAGGCUGCUCCUGAAAGGGGUCACCCUUGAGUGUGAGUCUGUUCCAAGUAAAUCAAGUGAGCUGGAAGAUCGGUGAGCUUGGAUUUAUUUGGUAUCUUUUUUUUUUUUUUUUUUUUCUAAGGGAGCUGUAGAAUUAAGGGUUGAGGUUUUUCUUUCUUAUUCUUUUUAGAGAUUUUUUGGCUACCUAAUACAUCAGCUGAACUAAUCUGCAGAAAAUAAAUUUAUCUUUAAAAUAGAGCUAUUUAGAUGCAUGAGUAACAAACUCUAUCUCAAUAGAAGCUAUUGGCAAAAUGAAGCUCACCUCUUAGGCUGACAGCACUGUGGAAAUGAUGCUCAAAGUUUCAGGGGUGAAACCAGAUUGGCUUCUGGCCAAGGGUACCUUACUAAUGGGCGUAUUUGCAUUUGGGGAGGAAAAGACCUGUGACAACACAGCCACGUGGUUGUUCCUCAUAACCCACAGUUGGGUUUCAUCUGGACUCCCUCCCCACCCCUAGCGUCUGCCGAUGUAUCUGUGUCUAAAGCCAUAGUUUACUCUUUUUUAUCCUCAUCCUUCAACCAGCCCUACAUCUUACGUGCCUGCUGUCCAGACUUCUCUUAAAUCUGUCUGUUCCUUUCCACCCCAACUAUCAAUUCAACUGAAUAGCCACUAAAUGAGGCACUGUGCUAGGCUCUGAAUUGCAAAGAUCAUUAGGGCAUUUGGUCUUAUUACUUCAGUCCUGGGUUAUGCACCUGUGCCAGGAGGUGCAGCUGAUUUUCCUGAUUACACUUCCAGACGUGCCACUCCUUCUCAUACACACAACUCUUGCUCAGACACUGUCCUGUUCUUCCUGUAAGGUACAGUCAAAACCUGCAUUUUCAGAGGCCUCUGCAGCCUGCACCCAUUGUGAUUGUGCAGUCUUAGCUCCUUUUGGCCUUGUGGAAGGAGAGUGGAUUCUAGAAAGAUCCCUACCCAGCCACUUCCUGCCCACUGUGACCUUGAGCAAAAUCUCUGGCUCCAAGUGUUGUAUGGGUGAUGGUGAAGGGGUAGCAAGGAAACUUGAGUGGGUUUGUCAGAACUAGGAGCAGUAAAAAAACUUGAAAGAGCCUCCUGUCUUAAGAAGGCACUUGACUGCCUCUGAUCAAUUCAGGGAGGCUUCAACAGCUCUUAAGAGGAUUAGGCCAAAGGACUUCAGUGAAACUUUUGUGCUUUUGUUCUCUAGAGUGGAAACCCUUGACACGUGUUACACACAAACAACACUUGGGGUGGAACAAGAGCUUUACAAUGA
rnacentral:lncRNA from 1 species